GAGGACCCUCAUACUUCAAGCUCAAGUCCAGACACUCCAUAGGAAGGAUCUAGUGUGAAGAACACUAGGUCGGCCUCUGGAAGUCCAGAUUUCAUUUUGUCUCUCUCGAUCCCUCACUGUGUGAACUCAGGACAAAUGAUCAGGGAUAGAAAAACAUAGCAAGAAAUUAAAAAGGAAUUAAAG